UCCCUGGUGAUCCAGUGGCUAAGAUUCUGAACUCCUAAUGCAGGGAACCCAGGUUCAAUUCCUGGUCAGGGAA